CCUGUAUAAGAAAAUUUCAUUUAAAAAUUAUAUUGCCUAGCAUGGCCCCGGCGCAAGGAUGACACACAAAUUUGUGAAACGUUCCAUAUUUUU
rnacentral:snRNA from 1 species